rnacentral:lncRNA from 1 species
AUUCUUCUUUCCAGAUCUUCUGUUUUUUCUCCAAGAUCAUUGGUACUCCUUUCCAGGUCUUCCGUUUUUCUUUCAACCUCAUCUGUUUUGUUUUCCAGAUCUUCUGCUUUUUCUUCCAGAUCGCAAACUCUUUCUUCGAGAUCAGCCAUUUUUCUGAUAUUAAGCCUUGUCUCUGACUGCUGCUGGUGUGUGAAGGUUGUAAAAAAAAAAACGUAUUCCCACCUUACGCUUAUAAACCCUAGUGAUUGCACAAGACAAGACAGGAACUUUUGUUCAGUCCGCACGUUUUAUCCAGUACCAAGUUCCUUCUCAGAUCAGAAACGGUGGAUGGACAGAACAAUCCGUGCUGCAGUAAACAAACGCACUGCUGUGUGCAACGCCGGUCUCUCUGGCCCUAAAGCGAGUGAACGUCAGGAAAGCAGCAGGUCCUGAUGGGAUUUCUAGCCAUGUUCUGCAGUCCUGCGCUGAUCAGCUCGCUAGUUUGUUUACAUGUAUUUUUAAUGAGUCCCUUGCUACCUCGGUGGUUCCCACCUCCUUCAGAAAAACUCUCAUCAUCCUUGUGCCUAAGAACAAUAAACUCUCUUGUCUGAAUGACUAUCGUCCAGUUGCCCUCACGUCAACAGUCAUGAAGGUCUUUGAGAAACUUAUAAAAAACAACAUCUGCUCCUCCAUCCCUGAUACUUCAUGACAUUAGCCCCAACAGAUCCACAGAAGAUUGGUGGCAUGUUGAUGGCAAUAACAGGAACUAUGUAAGGCUGCUAUUCAUCAACUAUAGCUCAGAUUUUAAUACCGUAGUCCCUAUCAAGCUAGCUUCCAACCAAGCGACUCUAACCACCCUGGUAACUGUCCUUUUACUUUGCUGCCAUCUGUAUCAUGAAUUUGUAUCGAGGCACCUGUUUCUCAGUGGGUUAUUCUAACUUACACCUUUAACUCUAUAAAUUAUUAUUUAGGUAGGAUAAGAAUAGACAUAUGUAGCAUAAACCAUGAAGUACUCGCCAGCCGGCAGGUUGAAGUUCUUCAGGAAUGAUGUAGAAGACUGCCUUGUGGUUGUUCUUGAGGCUCAGUUUGUAGUUAUAAGUAAAGUCUCACGGGAGGCAAUCGUAACAAUAAAAUCUCUCAUUUUAUUAGUUACAAAUACAAUACAAAGCAUUUAAUGCAAAAAUAAAACUAAGCUAUGAGUGUGACAAACAAUAAUGUAUAAUCAGAAAAUCAAAAACGUAACUGACAGCACUUCCUGUUGAACCGUGAAGCACAUUUUGAGAGAAACUGAGAAAAAGCCGUAUAAGAACCUCUAAUCAACAAACAUUUCUAAUGAGGAGGUUAUUCGUAUUUUAAUGAACAAAGAUUUAAAUAUAUAUAUAUAUUUUUAAACAAGAAAUACUUUCUACCCAAUUACUGUAAAUGGUUUAAAUAUGUAAAAUUAAUACAUGUACAUUACUUCAUACACUGAAUAUUAUAUUAUUAAUAUAUAUUCGGAUUGAAAUCCGAAACUGAAAGGAGAGCGUAUGUGCAAUGACGCGGAAGUAGCGUAAUGACGUAUGACGCGCAGACCACGCGGUUCUUCCUGUUGAAUGAACGUGUGUCCUGUCAUAAUAAAAUGUGCGCAUAUCAAAGCUUGAUCACGAUGUAUUUAGCGUUCAUGUAAACACUAUCGGAAUGAAACUGAAACAAAAGUAGUGCAUGCAAACAUAGGAGAAAUAUAAAAUACGUGGUGAUAUACUGAAAUAUCCACUGGUCUAGACAGAU